rnacentral:lncRNA from 1 species
AAAGGGAAGGUGGAGUGGAAGGUGGGGAGAGAGAGAGAAGGAGAAAAUGGAAGAGGGAGAGGAUGUAGAGGAGGAGGAGGAAGAAGAAAAGUGGAGGAGAAGCACAUGGGGCGUGUGCACAUGUGGGAAGCACAUUCCCCGAGCCGUCUCCCCGGCCAGCAUGGACUCCCCAGGAUGUCUGCUCCAAGGACGAAGGUGUAGAAUCACUGCUGUCUUCAUCUUGGACUUGCUGCCCUGGCUCCCUACCGCCUCCAAACAUCUCUCAAAGGAAGGAUCCCUGGGGAAAGGUGUGAGCAAGUGGAACCGAAAGCUGCUGAGGGACAGCUUUGGUCUGCAGUGAGCCAGGCUGCCCUCAGUCUCAUCCCCAGCACACAGUCCUUCUCCGCGUACUGGCCACAGUGUGCAUGCACGCGGGAGACGGCACUCGCUGUCUCAACGCCCUGAGUCCUGCCCUUC